GCAGUCGAGCGGACAGAUGGGAGCUUGCUCCCUGAUGUUAGCGGCGGACGGGUGAGUAACACGUGGGUAACCUGCCUGUAAGACUGGGAUAACUCCGGGAAACCGGGGCUAAUACCGGAUGCUUGUUUGAACCGCAUGGUUCAAACAUAAAAGGUGGCUUCGGCUACCACUUACAGAUGGACCCGCGGCGCAUUAGCUAGUUGGUGAGGUAACGGCUCACCAAGGCAACGAUGCGUAGCCGACCUGAGAGGGUGAUCGGCCACACUGGGACUGAGACACGGCCCAGACUCCUACGGGAGGCAGCAGUAGGGAAUCUUCCGCAAUGGACGAAAGUCUGACGGAGCAACGCCGCGUGAGUGAUGAAGGUUUUCGGAUCGUAAAGCUCUGUUGUUAGGGAAGAACAAGUACCGUUCGAAUAGGGCGGUACCUUGACGGUACCUAACCAGAAAGCCACGGCUAACUACGUGCCAGCAGCCGCGGUAAUACGUAGGUGGCAAGCGUUGUCCGGAAUUAUUGGGCGUAAAGGGCUCGCAGGCGGUUCCUUAAGUCUGAUGUGAAAGCCCCCGGCUCACCGGGGGGAGGGUCAUUGGAAACUGGGGAACUUG
rnacentral:rRNA from 1 species